UCCGCCGUCAUCCGCCUAUCAUGGUGGAGGC
rnacentral:sRNA from 1 species